AUCAGGACAACUGGAUGCUGCACCUUUGUAGACUCUUGACUACCCAGUUCCUCAGGGCUACAUGGCUUGAAACUGAGUCGUAUCUGACUCUGUACCAUGGCCCAUGGUCUGCUGUGCCACUGACUACCUGAUGGACUUGGGCCUCCUCUGCUCCCUAGGAGGCUGAAAUAAUGUGGAGCAAUGGGAUUAGCGCAGAGGCAGGAAGCCGAUUAGUAGGUUUGUGGUAGGGGGUGGGGUGCUGGGGGAAUGUUGCAGGGAAGCAGGAGUUGGGUUGGCAACUCAAGGGGCUCUGCUGAAAGAGGGGGUGCUGGGCCUGUUACCAGGAGCUGACAGUAACACUGGUGCUGGCAAAGAAGCUCCAGGUGUCUAACUGGACUGAUGCAGGGAUUAGCAAUAGAAUUAGCAAUGCAUCUGAGUUAACCACAUCGGGGUGACUGCACUUGAACCUGCCCCAGUAUAACCAGAUCUGUGAACUAACAGUAAUAGCAAAACCAAAUCAGCUCAGGCCUAAUACACACCUCCUUCACUCACUUGAGAGCCUGCCAGCUAGACCUCCCCUGGGUGUGUGCCUGUCUGGAGCAUGCAGCAAUCUUUGGUUUAAAAUAGUUCAAAACUACAGCCUCUCAUAGCUGUUUUUUUCUCAGAAUGGAAAUAUCUGCAACAGCAGCCAGUGUCACUCCUGCAUUGCCACUUGGUGAAUUAGUGCAAGAAAUUAACAAAGACGAUUUGACUCAAUCUGAGAGAAUGUUUAGCCUUGCUUUGGAAGUGAGGCAAGCUGGCAACGAUCUCUGAUUUUUCACUGCUAAUGCAUUGAGUGAUAAUUACUCCCCAGUAGACCUACAUAAAUUCCAACAUUCUUAACUGGUGCUUCAUGAAUACACCAAGGGGGAAAAAGUACCCUCGGGCAUUAAUCAAAUUUACCAAGCUACUACUCCUUGCUGCUUAAAAGAUACAUCUGCAAUUAUUUAUACAUAGAUCUAUUUUUAUAUGUCUACUAACACUGCUCAUGCGUGCGCUCACCCACACAUUUGGCAUAACAACAUGGCAAGCAUUUGUAAGUAUGCUCCAAAUGUCAGUGUGGGGGUAAUUGCAGAACAUGGAUCUCGCCUUCAUCUGUAGGGCUCUUUGUUUUCAACUGUAAAUCAUGAUGUUUAAUUCUCCCACUUCACACCUGGGUAGGCAGUGGCCACAGCAUGUGUUAAAAUUUAUUUUCUAUAGAUUUAAAUUUUUUUUUUAACCACCAAUACCUCAGGGACCUGCAACCAGUCUUGCACCUCAAAUCUUCAGUAAAAGCUCAGUACUGAAUCUUCAGAAAUUGACAGGCAAUUUCUACUUUUGCAAUGGCCUGAGCUUUGCAGGACUGCAGUAGCAAAGGCUAAAUGUGAAAAGGAAAUGGGUGUGAGCAAAAGCCCUUUCUCUCCACAGUGUCCACUGCCCUUCGAUUAAGAGACCAGCAUUUGUUGUCUGUGUAGGAGCUAUUUCUAAACUCUCUUAGCUGGAGGCAAUGUACACCAGACCAGUGGGGUGGGAGCAAUAAAGAAGAAAUGCAGUAAAGAACAAAUUCUUUUCAGAUUAGCUGAUUGGCAGUUGUAAAUAAUGCAGCUCUAGCACUAAAGUAAGAAAGAGCAGCUUCAACCUUGGCACUCAUUAUUUUGCUGUAAGCCUUUUUUCCUAGGAAUGUUUUUCUCUUUCAAGACUUAAACUAUGUUAACUCCUUAUGAUCCAGUCAUUUGUCCAAAAGGGUGAACUGUAAAAACCCUUUGUUGAAACCUCAAAGUUGUGGAUGUGAAAUGAUAGCGAGAAACAAUGGUAUUCUCAAACACUCUUCCCACUUACACCGAAAUUAUGACAGAAAACAUGUACACUUUGGGUUAAAUACCAUUCAUUCUGCAUAAGACCUGACAAGCAUUUUGAAAAAAAUGUUAAAGAAAUUAGGCACAUGAUUUAUAUGCAUGGCUACAUGAAGAACUCAGAUUGUUAAAAAUGGGAAGAGCAUAUAUGAAAUGGUCAUUUAGUGAUUCUAAAGAUAUUUUCAUUCUCGGCAGUCAUGAGGAUACAGUCAACCAGACUGACCUUUAAAUCCUCUGACCUAGUUCUGAAAGUAAAUUAUCAGACCAAUUAUAGGCUGGAUUUAUUUCAAACUGUUAUAAACAAAAAAUAAGUCUUUUUCCUUAAUUAUUUUCAAUUUAACAAUACAUUUGUGUUCAAUUAUGACAUUUAUUGUGAGAGACGGAAUUUUUUUUAUAAAAUCGUUUGUCCCUCCAAGUAUUUCCAUUGGUAUUUUAUUAAAAUAUUUCUUUCCAAAUUGUUUAUUUUUAUCCUUUAGAUCUAAUCGACUACAUUAUAAAUUUAAAAUAGUGUUGCUAUUUUUCUUAUUGUAAAAUCAAUAAAUGUUCUAAUAAAAUAUGAAAUGGCUAAAUAUAUAAUUUGUCUAAAAGAAACUUUGAUCUCUCAGACCCUUCAAUUAUUAAAAAUAAGGGAUUACUUAGUUUCAAUGCUAUUUGUGGCACUAUUUUUGGAAAGAAUGGAUGUCUCCUUAGUAAGAAAUGUUCCAUGACUUUUUAUUUUUGCAUCCUAAAUUGUGAAACUUUACAAGCAGGAAUCUUCUCUCAGUUAUCUUCACAAUCACCUCAAUCUUGUUAGAGCCUGAAUGAUAUUUGGCACUCAAUAUGCAUGUUUUGAAUAAACACAUACAUAAGUAACAGCGCAUCAGGUUGGACAAAGAAGACAUCUGUUCUUCAAGGAUAAAUUAUUUACCAAGGACCUAUUUUGGUGAUUAGAUAGUCUAUAUAUACCUGUACCUUUAACUAUCAUAAGUCUCUGGAGGUAAGAGGCUAUCUAAUAGAAGGAGGCAUGCUGGUAAUUCUAGGCAAUUACAAUUCAAUGCUAAUAUUAAGGUGCAUGGUCUUUUAUGGGAACCCAUAGAGGGACAUCUAUUGGGUUUUAAUGUAUUCCCCACUUCCUAUUUCCAAACCCUCUAAAAAUGCUUCAGGCAUGUGAAAACAGAGUGGAAGAGAAUUUUGAAAAAUUUAAAAAAUAAAGGAAAUAAUAAAAGGAACAUGAGUGGUUGAAAAGGACCCGGGAGAGACUUGCAUAAAUGAAGUGUGUACAUGAGGGAGCAAGGGAGCCCCAACUACCAAAAGGCAAACCUCUAUGUCAGAUUGUGCAGAAGGCACCCUAAGAGAAGGCUCCUCUCUCCAAACUCAGCAAGAACAGGGGAGCAGAACAGCUCCUGCACUGUGAUUUUGCAUCCCCAGUGUCAAUAUUUUCAUCAUUUGCCAAUAACAAUUUGGAGUUGUGCAGUCUAUUCCCCGUGAAGAGUUCACAUGAAAUUAAAGAGCAUUUUUAGUUUCCAAAGCCUUUCAACUUCUACCUAAAAAAAAAAAAAAAAAAAGUAUUCCCUUCAUUUUCCCCAUGCCCAAUGAUUUGCUCAUAAUGUCACUUAAGAGAUACUUGCUGAAAAAUGAAUAAACGAAUAUAAAGCUGAGACGUGUUAGCCUAUGAAAGGGAGUGAUCAAUAUAUUUUCCAACUCUGGACAGUUCAAGUUAGAGGAUAAAGGAAUUCAGUGUUCUUUAUAAUUCACCUGGCAGUCAUUAUGAUCCUAGGCAAGUGGGCAUAUGGCCAUUUCUCAGGAUGAAUCAGGCCACAUUUUAAUAGUUCCGGCAGUUCAAAGUGGAAUGGAUUUAUUUCAAGAGGCUCAAGAAAACCUCAUUUUGAAGGCUCUAAUGAAAAGUAAGGAUGAUAAAGAACACUGUUUUUCAUGAUAAGGAAAAUUCUGCCUUUCAAGAGAGACAUCAUAAUUUCUUCUAAUUAUGAGAAAAAUGUUGCUGCCUUGAGUGCUCUUAUUCAUGUGUACAGCCAAUGGGAUUUUCUGCAUAAAAGAAUAAUUAGCUUCUAUCCCUUCAUACUAAAAAAAAAAUCAUCCAUCUUUCUUUUCUUUUAUACCUUUCUCCCCCUUAUAUUCUUUGACCUCUACUCUGCUGAAUCUUUUAUAUGUCAUGGAAGGAAGAUUUAGAGGGGCUUUGAUUUCUCCAGUUCCUUUGGUGGCUGGCAGUGUUUGCUGUGCUGAAUUUGGAAGUGCCUAAUUUGGGAGUUCUGCUCAUGUAGGGUUGUAAACUGAUCAGAUUUCAUUUUAUGUGUGAAGAUCAUUUUCAGCCCGUGGAUUUAAACAUUUUAUUUGCCUGAAAUACAGAGUACAUAAUGCACUGUGGGCUUCUACUUAGGAAAGCUCCUCAACAACUUAGUUUUUAAGACAAAGGACAUUAUGGGGAGCUUGAUCCUUUAACCAUCUGAACAGUUACAGAGAGGCUGGGGUCGACCAACAGUUCUGAGAGGGUGACAGCAAUCACGUCUGGAGUUGCUGGCUUAUAAAGGAAGCUGUGUAAGGAAGACAGCUGAGCCCAAUUAGAACUUUUCAUUGACCUGGUUUGUGUGGUCCAUAAUUCUCAGUUGUGUAGAUAACUGCUGUGAGAAGAAAGAUGUUCAGCUAUAAUGGAAUUAAUUCAACACCCAAAUGUCAGCAAAGUAGAAAGAAGACCUGCUCAAAUUCAUAGUGAAUGAUAAUAUUGUUUGAACCUUCUGAGAGAUUAGAAUUUGUUCGCCUUCAAAAUGGAAUAUGAUCUUUGGCUUUAAAAUAGAAAAAUCAAUGAUAAAUAUAGACAGGAAAAGAAGUCUUAGGGAUUAGAUUUUUCUAAGAAAGUUUAGUGGCUUAUUGAAAUAGCAAUGAUAAUAGCCACCAUUUCCUGAGUGCUGAUUCUGGGACAGACCUGGUUCUAGGGUUUUAAGAACAUUAUCUCUACUCCAUAUAGCAGCCCUGGACAAAGGAGAAACUGAGAGGUGGACAAUGGCUUGGCCAAGAUCACAUGGUCAGAAACGAGGGGUCAGACUUCACCUUCGAGUAGUUUUACAU
rnacentral:lncRNA from 1 species